GACGAACGCUGGCGGCGUGCCUAAUACAUGCAAGUUGAGCGAUGAAGUUUGGUGCUUGCACCAAUUUGAAGAGCAGCGAACGGGUGAGUAACGCGUGGGGAAUCUGCCUUUGAGCGGGGGACAACAUUUGGAAACGAAUGCUAAUACCGCAUAACAACUUUAAACAUAAGUUUUAAGUUUGAAAGAUGCAAUUGCAUCACUCAAAGAUGAUCCCGCGUUGUAUUAGCUAGUUGGUGAGGUAAAGGCUCACCAAGGCGAUGAUACAUAGCCGACCUGAGAGGGUGAUCGGCCACAUUGGGACUGAGACACGGCCCAAACUCCUACGGGAGGCAGCAGUUGGGAAUCUUCGGCAAUGGACGAAAGUCUGACCGAGCAACGCCGCGUGAGUGAAGAAGGUUUUCGGAUCGUAAAACUCUGUUGGUAGAGAAGAACGUUGGUGAGAGUGGAAAGCUCAUCAAGUGACGGUAACUACCCAGAAAGGGACGGCUAACUACGUG
rnacentral:rRNA from 1 species